rnacentral:rRNA from 1 species
CAGUCGCCGCGGUAAUACGAAGGGUGCAAGCGUUAAUCGGAAUUACUGGGCGUAAAGCGUGCGUAGGCGGUGAGUUAAGUCUGCUGUGAAAUCCCCGGGCUCAACCUGGGAAUGGCAGUGGAUACUGGCUCGCUAGAGUGUGUCAGAGGAUGGUGGAAUUCCCGGUGUAGCGGUGAAAUGCGUAGAGAUCGGGAGGAACAUCAGUGGCGAAGGCGGCCAUCUGGGACAACACUGACGCUGAGGCACGAAAGCGUGGGGAGCAAACAGGAUUAGAUACCCCCGUAGUCCCUGUCUCUUAUAU